GACGAACGCUUGCGGCGUGCUUAACACAUGCAAGUCGAACGGAAAGGCCCUGCUUUUGUGGGGUGCUCGAGUGGCGAACGGGUGAGUAACACGUGAGUAACCUGCCCUUGACUUUGGGAUAACUUCAGGAAACUGGGGCUAAUACCGGAUAGGAGCUCCUGCCGCAUGGUGGGGGUUGGAAAGUUUCGGCGGUUGGGGAUGGACUCGCGGCUUAUCAGCUUGUUGGUGGGGUAGUGGCUUACCAAGGCUUUGACGGGUAGCCGGCCUGAGAGGGUGACCGGCCACAUUGGGACUGAGAUACGGCCCAGACUCCUACGGGAGGCAGCAGUGGGGAAUAUUGCACAAUGGGCGGAAGCCUGAUGCAGCAACGCCGCGUGCGGGAUGACGGCCUUCGGGUUGUAAACCGCUUUCGCCUGUGACGAAGCGUGAGUGACGGUAAUGGGUAAAGAAGCACCGGCUAACUACGUGCCAGCAGCCGCGGUGAUACGUAGGGUGCGAGCGUUGUCCGGAUUUAUUGGGCGUAAAGGGCUCGUAGGUGGUUGAUCGCGUCGGAAGUGUAAUCUUGGGGCUUAACCCUGAGCGUGCUUUCGAUACGGGUUGACUUGAGGAAGGUAGGGGAGAAUGGAAUUCCUGGUGGAGCGGUGGAAUGCGCAGAUAUCAGGAGGAACACCAGUGGCGAAGGCGGUUCUCUGGGCCUUUCCUGACGCUGAGGAGCGAAAGCGUGGGGAGCGAACAGGCUUAGAUACCCUGGUAGUCCACGCUGUAAACGGUGGGUACUAGGUGUGGGGUCCAUUCCACGGGUUCCGUGCCGUAGCUAACGCUUUAAGUACCCCGCCUGGGGAGUACGGCCGCAAGGCUAAAACUCAAAGGAAUUGACGGGGCCCCGCACAAGCGGCGGAGCAUGCGGAUUAAUUCGAUGCAACGCGUAGAACCUUACCUGGGUUUGACAUGGAUCGGGAGUGCUCAGAGAUGGGUGUGCCUCUUUUGGGGUCGGUUCACAGGUGGUGCAUGCCUGUCGUCAGCUCGUGUCGUGAGAUGUUGGGUUAAGUCCCGCAACGAGCGCAACCCUUGUUCACUGUUGCCAGCACGUUAUGGUGGGGACUCAGUGGAGACCGCCGGGGUCAACUCGGAGGAAGGUGGGGAUGACGUCAAGUCAUCAUGCCCCUUAUGUCCAGGGCUUCACGCAUGCUACAAUGGCUGGUACAGAGAGUGGCGAGCCUGUGAGGGUGAGCGAAUCUCGGAAAGCCGGUCUCAGUUCGGAUUGGGGUCUGCAACUCGACCUCAUGAAGUCGGAGUCGCUAGUAAUCGCAGAUCAGCAACGCUGCGGUGAAUACGUUCCCGGGGGCU
rnacentral:rRNA from 1 species